CAUGCUGAGUAAUUAGCAGUAAGCAAAAGAGAAAAAAGUUUCUUUGAAGAAUAUAAACUCCAAGGAAGUACAUACAGUAUGUGUUGGAAUGACAAGUGAUAUGAAGAAGUAACACAGGAGGAGGGAGAAGAGAAGAUGAAAGAUGGCAGGAUUCCAGAGAAGAGGCUAUUAAGAGCUGUUCUUUAAUUACUGUGUGAGGCAGUGCCUCAGGAACAUGUUCUGUAAUAGCCGAAAGCAGACUGGCAUUACACUCAAGCGUGCACAGUCAGGUGACCCACUUAAAGGAGAUGCUCAUUAUCCAUGGAUGAAGUCCAUGCUGUACAAUGGAGAAAAUAAGGUAGGACAUCCUGAUCCAGCGAGUAGGAGGAGAAGAGGACAGAGAUCAAGAGGACAGGACUUGGAGCCAUGAAGAGAAUUCUUGGAACCAUGAGGAGAGAUGGACCAAACCUAAGAUAUGACUAAAAGCAAGUAUAAUGUGUAAAAUCUGAAUGGUAAAAAACUAUGUGGGCUUGGAGGUUUAGGAUGGAAUAAAUGUUGCCCAGCAUUGUGCUCUAGGUUAAUUAAAUAAAUCCUAAUCUCGGUGUGGUGAUUUGGGUAUACAGCUGGUUUAGGAAUAACCACUGUUUAAUGAAAAGAUAAAUCAACAGUAAAUAUUAAUCACCCACAACAUGAGUCCCAGGGAUCAAACUCAGGUUGAGCAGCCUGGCCACAAUCAACUUUACAGGCUGAGCCAUCUCACAGGCUCCCUACUUUUAUGAUUACUAACUUGCAAUUUAACAUGACCUUUUUUAGAGUCCCUGUG